rnacentral:rRNA from 1 species
AUUGAACGCUGGCGGAAUGCUUUACACAUGCAAGUCGAACGGGAGAGGGGGCAACCCCUCGAGAGUGGCGAACGGGUGAGUAAUAUAUCGGAACGUGCCCAGUCGUGGGGGAUAACGUAGCGAAAGUUACGCUAAUACCGCAUACGAUCUACGGAUGAAAGCGGGGGACCGUAAGGCCUCGCGCGAUUGGAGCGGCCGAUAUCAGAUUAGGUAGUUGGUGGGGUAAAGGCUCACCAAGCCAACGAUCUGUAGCUGGUCUGAGAGGACGACCAGCCACACUGGAACUGAGACACGGUCCAGACUCCUACGGGAGGCAGCAGUGGGGAAUUUUGGACAAUGGACGCAAGUCUGAUCCAGCCAUUCCGCGUGCAGGAUGAAGGCCCUCGGGUUGUAAACUGCUUUUGUACGGAACGAAAAGGUUUCCAUUAAUACUGGGAGCUCAUGACGGUACCGUAAGAAUAAGCACCGGCUAACUACGUGCCAGCAGCCGCCGCGG